rnacentral:rRNA from 1 species
UACAGAGGGUGCGAGCGUUGUCCGGAAUUAUUGGGCGUAAAGGGCUCGUAGGCGGUUUGUCGCGUCGGGAGUGAAAUCCACUGGCUUAACUGGUGGCUUGCUUUCGAUACGGGCAGACUGGAGGUAUGCAGGGGAGAACGGAAUUCCUGGUGUAGCGGUGGAAUGCGCAGAUAUCAGGAGGAACACCGGUGGCGAAGGCGGGUCUCUGGGCAGUAACUGACGCUGAGGAGCGAAAGCGUGGGGAGCGAACAGG